rnacentral:rRNA from 1 species
GAUGAACGCUGGCGGCGUGCCUAAUACAUGCAAGUCGAGCGAACGGACGAGAAGCUUGCUUCUCUGAUGUUAGCGGCGGACGGGUGAGUAACACGUGGAUAACCUACCUAUAAGACUGGGAUAACUUCGGGAAACCGGAGCUAAUACCGGAUGAUAUUUUGAACCGCAUGGUUCAAAAGUGAAAGACGGUCUUGCUGUCACUUAUAGAUGGAUCCGCGCUGCAUUAGCUAGUUGGUAAGGUAACGGCUUACCAAGGCAACGAUGCAUAGCCGACCUGAGAGGGUGAUCGGCCACACUGGAACUGAGACACGGUCCAGACUCCUACGGGAGGCAGCAGUAGGGAAUCUUCCGCAAUGGGCGAAAGCCUGACGGAGCAACGCCGCGUGAGUGAUGAAGGUCUUCGGAUCGUAAAACUCUGUUAUUAGGGAAGAACAUAUGUGUAAGUAACUGUGCACAUCUUGACGGUACCUAAUCAGAAAGCCACGGCUAACUACGUGCCAGCAGCCGCGGUAAUACGUAGGUGGCAAGCGUUAUCCGGAAUUAUUGGGCGUAAAGCGCGCGUAGGCGGUUUUUUAGUCUGAUGUGAAAGCCCACGGCUCAACCGUGGAGGGUCAUUGGAAACUGGAAAACUUGAGUGCAGAAGAGGAAAGUGGAAUUCCAUGUGUAGCGGUGAAAUGCGCAGAGAUAUGGAGGAACACCAGUGGCGAAGGCGACUUUCUGGUCUGUAACUGACGCUGAUGUGCGAAAGCGUGGGGAUCAAACAGGAUUAGAUACCCUGGUAGUCCACGCCGUAAACGAUGAGUGCUAAGUGUUAGGGGGUUUCCGCCCCUUAGUGCUGCAGCUAACGCAUUAAGCACUCCGCCUGGGGAGUACGACCGCAAGGUUGAAACUCAAAGGAAUUGACGGGGACCCGCACAAGCGGUGGAGCAUGUGGUUUAAUUUGAAGCAACGCGAAGAACCUUACCAAAUCUUGACAUCCUUUGACAACUCUAGAGAUAGAGCCUUCCCCUUCGGGGGACAAAGUGACAGGUGGUGCAUGGUUGUCGUCAGCUUGUGUCGUGAGAUGUUGGGUUAAGUCCCGCAACGAGCGCAACCCUUAAGCUUAGUUGCCAUCAUUAAGUUGGGCACUCUAAGUUGACUGCCGGUGACAAACCGGAGGAAGGUGGGGAUGACGUCAAAUCAUCAUGCCCCUUAUGAUUUGGGCUACACACGUGCUACAAUGGACAAUACAAAGGGCAGCGAAACCGCGAGGUCAAGCAAAUCCCAUAAAGUUGUUCUCAGUUCGGAUUGUAGUCUGCAACUCGACUACAUGAAGCUGGAAUCGCUAGUAAUCGUAGAUCAGCAUGCUACGGUGAAUACGUUCCCGGGUCU